rnacentral:rRNA from 1 species
ACGCUCGACACCUACAGGAGGCAGCAGUGGGGAAUAUUGCACAAUGGGGGAAACCCUGAUGCAGCGACGCCGCGUGAGCGAAGAAGUAUUUCGGUAUGUAAAGCUCUAUCAGCAGGGAAGAAACUGACGGUACCUGACUAAGAAGCACCGGCUAAAUACGUGCUAGCACGCCGCGGUAAUCUGAGCGGCUGGCAAGGC